rnacentral:lncRNA from 1 species
AUGUCCCCGUUACUGACCGCGGUCGCUGUCUCCCAUCCCCGUGUCCCCGGGGGGGGUCCCGGCCUCGGCCCCCCCCACCCUCAGGGCCCCACCGCCUCCAACGCCCCACAAUGCACCGCGACGCCCCCCCCAACACCGGAAAUAACCCCCCUAAAUAGGAAGCGGAAGUACCCGCAGUCAAGAUGGCGGAGGGGACUUCAAAGCUUAUUUCCGCUUCCGGUGUUGGAUCCGGAAAUGCCCGGCGUCAAGAUGGCGGCGGGGGCCUACAAAGCUUAUUUCCGCUUCCGGUAUUGCGGCCUCCCAAUAGGAACCGGAAAUGCCCGUCUUCAAGAUGGCGGCGAGGCCUUCAAACCUUAUUUCCGGUGUUUUGGGGGGGGGGGCAAAUCUCGCGAGAGACCGGAAGGGGCGUGGCCUCGGUGCCACGUCGGGGUUGGAGCCGAGGAGCGAUCUCCCCCCACAGCUUCAAUGGCGACGGUCCUCCAGCCCCGGGAACCAGCGGCCUCCAACAUGGCCGCCAUCAUGGCCGCCACUCUGGCUCUCUGCCUCCUCCCUUCCGCCUCUCACGGGGACCGCCAUCACCAGGAGGACUUCCGCCAUCACCGGGAGGACUUCCGCCAUCACCGGGAGGACUUCGGCCAUCACCGGGAGGACCUCGGCCAUCACCGGGAGGACCUCGGCCAUGGUCAGCACCAGCUCCAUGUGGACAGCGGCCACGGCCACACCUUGACGGCCAUGUUUAGUCGUGGGCACCAACACGAAGACCCCCAGCAUGGACACUCACAUGGGGACCCCCACCAUCAACAUGGGGACCCCCAUAGGGACCCCCACCACAGCCAUGGGGACCCCCACCAUGGCCAUUCACAUGGGGACCCCCAUAGGGACCCCCACUAUGGCCAUGGGGACCCCCAUACGGACCCCUACUAUGGCCAUGGGGACCCCCAUCAUGGCCAUCAACAUGGGGACCCCCAUAGGGACCCCCACCAUCAACAUGGGGACCCCCAUAGGGACCCCCAUCAUCAACAUGGGGACCCCCAUAGGGACCCCCACCACGGCCAUGGGGACCCCCAUCAUGGCCAUCAACAUGGGGACCCCCAUCAUGGCCAUCAACAUGGGGACCCCCACCAUGGCCACAGCCACCACCAUGGGGACCCCCAAGUUCCCCCCCCAUCAGCUCCCAGUCGCCCGGACACUCUGACCCUCUGGAUUCAGGUGAGC